rnacentral:rRNA from 1 species
UAGCAUAUCAAUAAGCGGAGGAAAAGAAACCAACAGGGAUUGCCCUAGUAACGGCGAGUGAAGCGGCAUCAGCUCAAAUUUGAAAUCUGGCUCUUUCAGGGUCCGAGUUGUAAUUUGCAGAGGGCGCUUUGGUGUUGGCAGCGGUCCAAGUUCCUUGGAACAGGACGUCACAGAGGGUGAGAAUCCCGUACGUGGUCGCUAGCCUUCGCCGUGUAAAGCCCCUUCGACGAGUCGAGUUGUUUGGGAAUGCAGCUCUAAAUGGGAGGUAAAUUUCUUCUAAAGCUAAAUACUGGCCAGAGACCGAUAGCGCACAAGUAGAGUGAUCGAAAGAUGAAAAGCACUUUGGAAAGAGAGUCAAAUAGCACGUGAAAUUGUUGAAAGGGAAGCGCUUGCAGCCAGACUUGCCUGUAGUUGCUCAUCCGGGCUUUUGCCCGGUGCACUCUUCUGCGGGCAGGCCAGCAUCAGUCUGGGCGGUUGGAUAAAGGCCUCUGUCAUGUACCUCCUCUCGGGGAGGCCUUAUAGGGGAGGCGUAAUGCAACCAGCCUGGACUGAGGUCCGCGCAUCUGCUAGGAUGCUGGCGUAAUGGCUGUAAGCGGCCCGUCUUGAAACACGGACCAAGGAGUCUAACAUCUAUGCGAGUGUUUGGGUGUCAAGCCCGAGCGCGUAAUGAAAGUGAACGGAGGUGGGAUCCCUUUAGGGUGCACCAUCGACCGAUCCUGAUGUCUUCGGAUGGAUUUGAGUAAGAGCAUGGCUGUUGGGACCCGAAAGAUGGUGAACUAUGCUUGAAUAGGGUGAAGCCAGAGGAAACUCUGGUGGAGGCUCGCAGCGGUUCUGACGUGCAAAUCGAUCGUCAAAUUUGGGCAUAGGGGCGAAAGACUAAUCGAACUAUCUAGUAGCUGGUUCCUGCCG